GAGUUUGAUCAUGGCUCAGAUUGAACGCUGGCGGCAGGCCUAACACAUGCAAGUCGAACGGUGACAGGAAGCAGCUUGCUGCUUCGCUGACGAGUGGCGGACGGGUGAGUAAUGUCUGGGAAACUGCCUGAUGGAGGGGGAUAACUACUGGAAACGGUAGCUAAUACCGCAUAAUGUCGCAAGACCAAAGAGGGGGACCUUCGGGCCUCUUGCCAUCGGAUGUGCCCAGAUGGGAUUAGCUUGUUGGUGGGGUAACGGCUCACCAAGGCGACGAUCCCUAGCUGGUCUGAGAGGAUGACCAGCCACACUGGAACUGAGACACGGUCCAGACUCCUACGGGAGGCAGCAGUGGGGAAUAUUGCACAAUGGGCGCAAGCCUGAUGCAGCCAUGCCGCGUGUAUGAAGAAGGCCUUCGGGUUGUAAAGUACUUUCAGCGGGGAGGAAGGGAGUAAAGUUAAUACCUUUGCUCAUUGACGUUAUCCGCAGAAGAAGCACCGGCUAACUCCGUGCCAGCAGCCGCGGUAAUACGGAGGGUGCAAGCGUUAAUCGGAAUUACUGGGCGUAAAGCGCACGCAGGCGGUUUGUUAAGUCAGAUGUGAAAUCCCCGGGCUCAACCUGGGAACUGCAUCUGAUACUGGCAAGCUUGAGUCUCGUAGAGGGGGGUAGAAUUCCAGGUGUAGCGGUGAAAUGCGUAGAGAUCUGGAGGAAUACCGGUGGCGAAGGCGGCCCCCUGGACGAAGACUGACGCUCAGGUGCGAAAGCGUGGGGAGCAAACAGGAUUAGAUACCCUGGUAGUCCACGCCGUAAACGAUGUCGACUUGGAGGUUGUGCCCUUGAGGCGUGGCUUCCGGAGCUAACGCGUUAAGUCGACCGCCUGGGGAGUACGGCCGCAAGGUUAAAACUCAAAUGAAUUGACGGGGGCCCGCACAAGCGGUGGAGCAUGUGGUUUAAUUCGAUGCAACGCGAAGAACCUUACCUGGUCUUGACAUCCACGGAAGUUUUCAGAGAUGAGAAUGUGCCUUCGGGAACCGUGAGACAGGUGCUGCAUGGCUGUCGUCAGCUCGUGUUGUGAAAUGUUGGGUUAAGUCCCGCAACGAGCGCAACCCUUAUCCUUUGUUGCCAGCGGUCCGGCCGGGAACUCAAAGGAGACUGCCAGUGAUAAACUGGAGGAAGGUGGGGACGACGUCAAGUCAUCAUGGCCCUUACGACCAGGGCUACACACGUGCUACAAUGGCGCAUACAAAGAGAAGCGACCUCGCGAGAGCAAGCGGACCUCAUAAAGUGCGUCGUAGUCCGGAUUGGAGUCUGCAACUCGACUCCAUGAAGUCGGAAUCGCUAGUAAUCGUGGAUCAGAAUGCCACGGUGAAUACGUUCCCGGGCCUUGUACACACCGCCCGUCACACCAUGGGAGUGGGUUGCAAAAGAAGUAGGUAGCUUAACCUUCGGGAGGGCGCUUACCACUUUGUGAUUCAUGACUGGGGUGAAGUCGUAACAAGGUAACCGUAGGGGAACCUGCGGUUGGAUCACC
rnacentral:rRNA from 1 species